AGGCGGAGAAGGAGGAGAAAUGGCGGCAAGGGUUGAAAGUCCGAAGGUGAAUAUCCUUCAAACUAUUGAUUAUUUUGGCCACGUCCACCCCCCGCUGGAUGAAUUCGGAUGGCUUUUAUUGACGACUUGGAGGCCGCCGAGAGACGCUGCUUUUGCGGGAGGACCAAACGGUCGUGCUGCACUUUUCGAAUCAUGUUUGUGCUUUUCGUUGGCGUUUAUCUGGCGUUGUUGCCGCUCUACUCCACCACCACCACAACCACCACAACCAGCCGGAAUGACAACCCCAUCAUCGGUAUCCUGGCACAGGACCUUUUCACACCGGUAGAGAAUCAAACGUCUUAUAUUGCUGCCUCUUAUGUCAAGUUCCUGGAGUCAGCGGGUGCCAGGGUGGUCCCUAUUAUGAUCAACCAGACUGAUGAGGAAUAUAGGAGACUAUUCAACUCAAUUAACGGUGUUCUUUACCCUGGAGGAGCGGCCAGCAUCUUCUCAUCAGGCUACCAAAGGAGUGCAAAGUUCUUCUACGAGAUGGCCAUUGAGGCCAAUCAGAGAGGAGAUUACUUCCCUAUUUGGGGCACCUGCCUGGGGUUCGAGCAGCUGCUGUUGCUGACCAAUGGUGUUUCACUGCUGACGGAGACGGACACAAGGGGCGUGUCCUUGCCUCUCAGCUUCACUCAAGAGGCCAAAGACAGCAGAAUGUUCCAAGGUUUCCCGGCUGAACUCAUGGACGCUUUGGCGUUGGAGCCUCUGACCGAGAACUCCCACCGCUGGAGUUUGGCUGUGGAGGCGUUCAACGCAACCCAAGCACUGAAGACGUUUUAUAAAGUUCUCUCCACAAACACAGACGGAAAAACAGAUUUUUUGUCCACAAUUGAAGCGUUCCACUACCCAAUUUACGGCACCCAGUGGCACCCGGAGAAGAACGCAUUCGAGUGGAGGAAGCCGUACAUCGCUCACAGCCCCUCUGCCGUCCAGGUCACCUUCUUCAUGGCCGAGUUCUUUGUGGGAGAAGCGCCAGUCCUGCUGCUCGGGGGCUCGUCCAUCAUGCCGCACGUGAACGGAUCAGCGUAUUCCACAGUGUCACUCGUACUCCAGAGACAGAAGAUGAUGAGCGAUGGGAGGAGAUCCUCGGCUGCUCCGGAGGCAGUCUCAAGUCCAGCAUGCUGCGGUUGCAUAAUCUUGAGGACACCAUUCUUGUGCUUGGACAUGUUGACGGACUGACCGGGUCUGGGUGGGUUUUUGUACGAGGCGGGGUGUGCGGGUGCAUCGGUCAAGCUAACCUUCGUCUUCAUUCUCUUCAUCUACCUCGUCCGGGAGCCGCUCCGGGAGCCUGAAGCAUUCCUCAAAGAAGUUGACCAGCGACUGGCUGAGGUGCUGCUUGGUGCCCUCGUUGUGGAUGAAGUGGCCUUCGUCCGGGUAGAUCUGGCACGGCGACAACAGACUCUUAUCUUCACGAGGGUCGCGGGCCUGCUGGAGCCUAUCCCAGCUGUCUUCGGGCCAGAGGCGGGGGUACAAGCAAUUAAAGCAGACAGGAACGGGACGUCUGGGCCUACGUGGAACAGCACCAGGACGCCAGGAUCGUAUUAUGCAGCAGGAAGUAGCUCAUGUUGUGGCAGAAGGAGCCGCCGAUGUAGCCGCAGCUCUCAGACAGGCCGCACGACAGGCAGCGGCGGUUGAACGAGCCAAAAGUGUCGGCGCUGAGGACACAAAGGCCAAAAGUUGGACCAAACCGAACCAACCGUACUCGUCUGUUGUACAGCAAAACCAUCAUCACCAACCAUCACUAAGCUGCUCAACAGGAAAGGUUCAAAAAGAACAGAGAGUCGGCGGUUAAGGAUGCUUACCUUCAUACAGCCAAUCACUGAGCCCGUUGAAGAUGACGCCUUCCUUGCCGGAGGACACCAAGCGAAUGGAGCGGCUCUCCACGGUGGAGCGAUAGUAGAUGUUGUUCUCGAAAAUGAAGAUCUACGGAAGGAAAUCAAAGAUUAAAGAGACUUCUGGAGCAGAAAACCAUCCAAGGAGUUUCCUCUCAAUUGAACAACCUUUGUCAUCAUUUGGAGCUGAAGAAAGCGUGCAGUCUUCGUGAUGAACGCCGCUCAUCUAACCCUUGUGGUUCUGCGCCACACUCCGGUACUGAUGGAGUCUCAGUCUUUUCUAGGUCACAGCACAAAGCCGACCCCCUUUCUCAGCGACAACCUCCAUGGGCCCGACCCUUAAUUACCCUCAGCCGUAAUGUGAAUUUGUCACCUCAUACAAUAACAAUGGGACCAAGUUCAUUAAUAUUCAACUUCAUUAGAUGCAUCAGUACGUUGCAGGCCCAGACGCAGGAUGCAUGAUGGGAGAUGAAGACUCCACUGACCUUUAUCCGCCCCUGCCCUUUUGCGACUUCUCGUCAUGUUCACCAAUUUGAUGACUAAUGUCAGCAAACUUUAGGCUGUAUCAAUCCAGCCGGCGUGUUAGUUAGUUAAUCCGCUGACGAGAUAACAGGUAAUUAAUAGCAUUGUGCUGCAGGAUGUAAUCACUUAAGCCGCCAGGCUGAAGCUAAUUACGCCACUGACGGCUUGUUAUGAUGCUUCGUCUUAGAAAUGCAGAAGACCCCUGUAGUUGCAUCCAGGAAAGGUUCUGGGGCAGAUCCUCGAUCACGGUCCAGUAACGACCAUUUAAAAACACCCCUAAAGAGCAUCAGCCCCCCCCCCCAGUCAAUCCUUCGACGCAGAGUCCAUCCCGUCCACUCGUAAAGCGGCCAUGUUUACGAGGCGGCCAGGAAGAUGGUGUAUUUCUCCAGUCUUUUAGUCGGCGUCAUCAAUCCUCCGGAGAUCAAUAGCAAAAGGAGCGGAUCAGUGAAGAAGACACGGCAGGAUGUAAAUAAUGGAGGUCAGGCUUCAGCUCCAAUGUUUGUGCUUGUUCUUAGCUGCCUCGACUCACCAGACACUUCAUUAGGAUUGUGGGGGAUGUCCUCCUUACCAGUUGCUGACCCUCCGGACCCCAGCCGGCGUACUGCAGCUGAGCGUUGCGGACCUCGGGCGGGUUCAG